UAGGGAAUAUUGCACAAUGGGCGAAAGCCUGAUGCAGCAACGCCGCGUGCACGAUGAAGGCCUUCGGGUCGUAAAGUGCUUUUCUGGGAGAUGAGAAAGGACAGUAUCCCAGGAAUAAGUCUCGGCUAACUACGUGCCAGCAGCCGCGGUAAAACGUAGGAGGCGAGCGUUAUCCGGAUUCACUGGGCGUAAAGCGCGUGCAGGUGGCUUGGUAAGUUAGGCGUGAAAUCUCCCGGCUCAACUGGGAGAGGUCGUCUAAUACUACCGGGCUAGAGAGCAGAAGAGGAAGAUGGAAUUCCCGGUGUAGUGGUGAAAUGCGUAGAUAUCGGGAGGAACACCAGUGGCGAAGGCGAUCUUCUGGUCUGUUUCUGACACUCAGACGCGACAGCUAGGGUAGUAAACGGGAUUAGAGACCCCGGUAAUCCUAGCCGUAAACGAUGUGAACUUGGCGUUGGUGGGUUAAACUCCAUCAGUGCCGCAGCAAACGCGAUAAGUUCACCGCCUGGGGACUACGGCCGCAAGGUUAA
rnacentral:rRNA from 1 species